ACUUAGAGACAGUCUGCCUUUGAGCUCUGCUGGUGACCAAAACCUAAAUUGUAGCAGACAAAACACAGUCUUUUAUCAUGAAACAACAUAAACCAGAGCAGAAAUUUAAGGUUCUUCUCUUUUGAAAACUCAGAAUGUCUUUCAAAUAUCUUACCCAUGUGUAACACAUUCUGGAAAUUUUAACCCAAUUUCAUAAUGAGUGUAGACUUGAGAACAGACAUAGUUUAAAGACCAGACAUACUUAUAAGUUAAUUAGAUCUAUGCCUCUCAGGGAUAUAGCAGUGUUCUUAUUCUACAUAUACAUGAAGAAUUUAUAUUUUCACACCAGUAGGAAGUAUACCUACAUUAAGCCUUGGCAACAUGGCCAAACUCAUCUCUACAAAAUAUCAAAAAUUAGCCGGGCAUGAUGGCUCAUACUUGUAUUCCCAGCUACUCAGCAGGCUGAGGUGAAAGGAUCUCUUGAGCCAGGGGAGGUUGAGGCUGCAGAAAGCCGUGAUUGUACCACUGCACUUCAACUUGGGUGACAGAGUGAGACCCUGUCUCAGAAGAAGAAGAAAGAGGAAAGAAGAAAGAAGGAAGAAGAAGAAAAGAAGUAUACCUGCAUAUUAUAUAGAACAAGCUGCAGUGAGGACCUGAUAGUCAAAAUUACUUGGAGGAAAAUCACAGCUCUUCUCCCCUAGAAAGUCUGCUGAGUCUCACCAGGAGAAUCUCACAGGGAGGCUGCCACGAAUUCUCUCUGCAAGGACUGUGAAACUCAGGGUCCUGGAACCUGGGGAGAUCGAGGGACAACUGUACAUCAGCCUGCUGAGAAAUGUUUUGCAGGAUUCAUGAUUGGGAUCUUCGUACUAAGCCUUUCUUGAGGGAGUGUCUCAGACUCAACCAGCCUCAAUUUUCCCAUGAAUCCUUCUUCAUUGCCUUCCUAGAUUGCUACUCCGCAUCUCAGCUGACCCCAUACAAACAAACUCCAAUAGUGUCUCCAAUCGCGUGCUGUGUUAAAUUUUAACUUUAUAACCAACCAUCAUUUGCUACUUCCAUCUAACCAAGCCAGUUUCCUUAUGAUGCACACACUUGUGUUUAGCUCACAAUUUGUUCUACAUGCUUGCUUAUUUAUUCAUUCAGCAAGUAUUUAUUGAGCCCCAACUGUGCACUAGCUGCUGUCUCAGGUGCUGGGGAGACAGGAAGAUCAAAAUAAAACCCCUGCCUUCAAGU
rnacentral:lncRNA from 1 species